rnacentral:rRNA from 1 species
AAACUCAAAGGAAUUGACGGGCCCCGCACAAGCAGCGGAGCGUGUGGUUUAAUUCGAGGCUACACGAAGAACCUUACCAGGGUUUGACAUGUCACGUGGUAGGAAUCUGAAAAGUGAACGACCCUUCGGGGAGCUUACACAGGUGCUGCAUGGCUGUCGUCAGCUCGUGUCGUGAGAUGUUCGGUUAAGUCCGCUAACGAGCGCAACCCUCACUGUGUGUUAUACGUGUCACACGGGACUGCCGGUUUUAAGCCGGAGGAAGGCGAGGAUGACGUCAAGUCAGCAUGGCCUUUAUAUCCUGGGCUACACACACGCUACAAUGGUCUGUACAACAGGUUGCCAAACCGCGAGGUGGAGCCAAUCCCUAAAACGGGCCUCAGUUCAGAUUGCAGGCUGCAGCCCGCCUGCAUGAAGCCGGAGUUGCUAGUAACCGCAGGUCAGCUAUACUGCGGUGAAUACGUUCCCGGGUCUU